AACGAACGCUGGCGGCAUGCCUAACACAUGCAAGUCGAACGCCUGUAGCAAUACAGGAGUGGCAGACGGGUGCAUAACACGUGGGAACCUACCCUUGGGUUCGGAAUAACCGCGGGAAACUGCGGCUAAUACCGGAUACGUCCUCUGGGAGAAAGAUUCAUCGCCCUUGGAGGGGCCCGCGUCGGAUUAGCUAGUUGGUGAGGUAACGGCUCACCAAGGCGACGAUCCGUAGCUGAUCUGAGAGGAUGAUCAGCCACACUGGAACUGAGACACGGUCCAGACUCCUACGGGAGGCAGCAGUGGGGAAUAUUGGACAAUGGGGGCAACCCUGAUCCAGCAAUGCCGCGUGGGUGAUGAAGGCCUUCGGGUUGUAAAGCCCUUUUGGCAGGGACGAUGAUGACGGUACCUGCAGAAUAAGCCCCGGCUAACUUCGUGCCAGCAGCCGCAGUAACAC
rnacentral:rRNA from 1 species